UUCUACUGUCACCAUGGUAUCUAAGCUCAUCAGAGAAACUGCGCGAGGUUGUUGCUAGCUUGGUCUGUCUGCAGAAACAAGAAGUUGCCACGAGGUCCAGCCCAGGAGAAGCUUGAGCUGGAGUCAGCCAUGUCAUAGUAAGAAGUUCUUCAAUGAGAAGCCUGGCUGCCAUUACUGGAGCCAAUUGACACAAAGACUGCUGUGGUAGGACUGGAAUAAUCACCUUUCUGGUAACCUUUUGUCACAUGCUGCGACAUGAGCAACUUGCCCUAGCUCAGCCUUUUCCCAGCGGGACACACCUCACAGGUAAUUGUGCUGUCAAUCUGCUCCACAGCAGUUGUCAGCCCUCUGCAGACUGAGCUGCCAGGACUCACUUUUAGAGCAUUUAUUUAAAACAACUGUUUGAAUUUCACAGGUGCAAAAGCUUAAGCACAGGAGCACUUGCUAAAAAGAGGGCUUAGAGCCACCAUAAUUUUGAACUUUUGUGUGCUGAAUUUCUUGGAGAUGUCUCUCAUGAACCAGUUGCUUCAUGAUGUGCAGAGCUGU